rnacentral:rRNA from 1 species
GACGAACCGUGCGAACGUUAUUCGGAAUCACUGGGCUUAAAGGGCGCGUAGGCGGAUCGAUCAGUCAGGGGUGAAAUCCCACGGCCCAACCGUGGAAGUGCCUCUGAUACUGUCGGUCUCGAGGGGGAUAGGGGCGUGCGGAACUCAGGGUGGAGCGGUGAAAUGCGUAGAUAUCCUGAGGAACACCGGUGGCGAAAGCGGCGCGCUGGAUCCCUUCUGACGCUGAGGCGCGAAAGCCAGGGGAGCAAACGGG